AACCAUUAUGUGGGCAGAGUCUCAUCAUGUCCUUAUAUCUAUCCUAGGCCUCAAAGGGGGAUUCACCAUCGGUCUGUCUAAAAUAAGCUAUACGGUUUCUUAAAACU